GAACGGCGGAAACAUCCUCGGCGACGGCGGAUAUCAGCUGAAUCCAGGCGCUUCCGUACAGCUCAGAGCUCCUCCAGGAUGGACAGGCCGCUUCUGGGCUCGUACCGGCUGCAACUUCGACUCCUCCGGCAACGGUAACUGCGUCACAGGAGAUUGCGGCGGCGUUCUAAAAUGUGCCGGCGCCGGCGGGGUUCCCCCAGUCACACUCGCCGAAUUCACCGUAGGUGAAAAGGAUUACUACGACGUGAGCCUCGUCGACGGCUACAACGUCAAGAUGGGGAUAAAACCGCAAGGAGGGUUCGGAGACUGCGAUUACGCAGGCUGCGUUUCCGACCUCAACAUGGUUUGCCCUAACGAGCUUCGUGUCAUGGGUCCGCAGAACAACGUGGCGGCGUGCAAGAGCGCAUGCGCGGCGUUUAACAAGGAGGAGUACUGCUGCACCGGUGCUCACUCCACGCCGCAAACUUGUUCUCCCACGACUUACUCGAUGACGUUCAAGAAAGCUUGCCCUGACGCUUAUAGCUAUGCUUAUGAUGAUGAAACUAGUACGUUCACUUGUGCCGGAGCUAACUACUUGAUCACUUUCUGCGCCACCGGUUCUUAAUAUAUGGAGCUUCGGUUUAGGUUCGGGUCGAGUUUAUCUCCUUUAAUCAUGUUUGUUUUGGUUGCUUGCUAUGUACGGAAGAUGAAUAUCUUCUUCCACUUCUAUGGUUUUACUUGUGUAUUCAGUUGUUGCACUCAGCUGAUUUGCAUUAUGGCCUACAAAUAAAAUAACUACGACGUGAGCCUCGUCGACGGCUACAACGUCAAGAUGGGGAUAAAACCGCAAGGAGGGUUCGGAGACUGCGAUUACGCAGGCUGCGUUUCCGACCUCAACAUGGUUUGCCCUAACGAGCUUCGUGUCAUGGGUCCGCAGAACAACGUGGCGGCGUGCAAGAGCGCAUGCGCGGCGUUUAACAAGGAGGAGUACUGCUGCACCGGUGCUCACUCCACGCCGCAAACUUGUUCUCCCACGACUUACUCGAUGACGUUCAAGAAAGCUUGCCCUGAC
rnacentral:lncRNA from 1 species